rnacentral:lncRNA from 1 species
GAGGAGUUUAGAGAACAAAAAUCAAUGCAGCAACGUAUUAUAAUUACCACCAAAUGAUACUGCAUGACUUUAAGUGCUUAAAGAAUUCAGCCAACAUAAAAUACACUAUUGCAAUAUUAUGAAUGUGCUCAUGCACUGGAAGAUGAAGACGUCUGUAAAAAUGUAUUUCUGGCUACCAAGGAGAAAACAGCUGAGGCUUCACAGCGACAUCACCACCCCCACCCCCACUCCCACCCCCACCCCCACCCCCAUCCCCAUCCCCACCCCCACCCCCAUCCCCAUCAUGGGCAUCAGCUUCAUGAAAAUGCUCAUCUUUCAGAGUCUCCAAAACCAGACACACCAGAUACCCCUGAGAAUCCCCCUCCUUCAGGUCUUCAUCACCACCACCACAGGCACAAGGGUCCCCAAAGACAGGGUCACUCAGAUAACUGUGAUACACCAGUAGGAAGUGAAAGUUUACAACCUUCUCUUCCACAAAAGAAGCUCUGACGAAAGAGAUGCAUAAAUCAGUUACUCUGACAGUUUCCCAAAGAUUCAGAAUCUGCUUUGAGUAGCUGCUGUUGCCACUGUCGACAUCUGGUAUUUGAAAAAACAGGGUCUGCAAUCACCUGACAGUGUACAGAAAAGCUCCCCUCUUUGUGUAGCUGACAGGGCCUUUUGGCGGAGGAGAAUGUCAUUGAAUCUUGACAGUGACGUUUGCCUCCAGCUGCCUGACAGGCAGCAGGUCAGCAGCUCAACCCCACAGAAGCCAGCACCAAGUGAAGCUGAAAAAAUAAGGCCAAAAUGUGAAAAUGACCUUCAAAUUAAAUAUAUGAAAUUGGAUAUAUUCCCCAAGUCAAUCUACACAAUUGCAUUUCCAGCAUUUGUAUAAGGUACCUAAUUAACAGUGAUCCAAAAAUAGGAAUUGGAUUUGUGCAAACAUGGAGAAAUUGACUUCCAUAAAAUUUAAGUCAAAGAAAUUUUGACCCAAACCAUAUUUUUAUUCAGCUGAGAGGUGGUUGCAGCGUUUGGUUAGCAUGUCUUUCUUUUUCUUUUUCCAGUAUUCUACUUGCGUUAAUGAGAACAGAAACGUAAACUAUAACCUAGGGGUUUCUGUUGGAUGGUUGGCAACUAAGAAUGGAGGAAGAACAACAAAGACAUGUUCUCCACUUUCUUAUUUCUCAAAACAAUGUUAUCUUCGUCUUUUUAAUCUUAGGUUUUUAACAGAUUAAACCUUUAAAGCAAGAAGUGAAUUCUGUCUUUUCAGACCCAGAAAUACACAUGAAUACUUUGCUAUGAUUACAUUUUAGAUAUUCAUUUAUACUUUUCUAUAUCUAAGACUCAUAUCUUGAUUUUUACUAUCAUAUAUGAAUGAAGCCUUUAUAUCUUGUUUUUUUGCCAAUCUUGAAAGAUAGAUGGGAAAAGAUAAAAGAAUGUUGUCUAACUCUUGAUUGCUUAGAAAGUAUUUCCAUAGUCAAUGAUGGUUCAAUAGGCAAACCAGGUCCUAUAAACCUGAAUUUUUUUUAUGGUCAAUACUGUUAAGCAGAAAUGUAGAACAGGACUGGCAAAAAUGUGGAUGUUUAAAUUCAAUAAAAAAGUUUAAAGCUUUUUGUUUUCA